UGAGGAAUAUCGGGCAAUGCCCGCAAGGGUGACCCAGCAACGCCGCGUGGAGGAUGAAUGUCGUAAGAUUGUAAACUCCUGUUAGAGGGGAAGAAUAGUACCGGUUGGACCGGUAUAUGACUGUACCCUCAGAGAAAGCCCCGGCUAACUACGUGCCAGCAGCCGCGGUAAUACGUAGGGGGCAAGCGUUGUCCGGAUUUACUGGGUGUAAAGGGCGCGCAGGCGGGAUAAAAAGUCAGUGGUGAAAUCCUACAGCUUAACUGUAGAACUGCCUUUGAUACUUUUAUUCUUGAGUUCGGGAGAGAGAGACGGAAUUCCAGGUGUAGUGGUGAAAUACGUAGAUAUCUGGAAGAACACCAGUUGCGAAGGCGGUCUCUUGGUCCGACACUGACGCUGAGGCGCGAAAGCGUGGGGAGCAAACA
rnacentral:rRNA from 1 species